CUCGCAUCGUCCCCGUCGUUUUGGUCCGCUCGGCUCGCUAAUCCGGUCCCUAGAUGGCGGUCGUGGAGGACCCGAAGCCCUAAGUCUGGAAAGGUGGAGACUGAAGUAUCGGUGAAUGUGUCCUGCUAGUUGGUUUUAGGAUGGUUCCCCUUUUGUCGAGCUGGUCUAUUUCGUAGACAGCCCAGAGUUGUAUUUAAGCCUAUGUGCUUGUAAAAGAGUGUUUGGUAUUGUGAUUGAUUGCCUGCUUUUCUAUCCCAAGUUAAAUGUUGUCAGGGGAUUUGUUUCGCUUCCGCAUGCGUAAUAAAAUGAAUGGGUCGGCGACGUA